UUCACUACCGAUUGAUUUAUGUUCUAUACUACUUCCAUCUUCUUCUCCCUCUCUUUCUCCCUUCUCCCUCUUCUUCUUAGUUCUUCCUUCUCCCUCUCUUUUGUAUUGAUAUUAUUGAGUAUCAGACAGGUUCGAUUUUGAUUUUGAUUUAGUGUUUGUUGUUUCAGGUUAGGUGGUGUUGACUCACACGAAAGGGGAAAGAUUUGGCGACGGUGCGAUUACCGAACGAGUUGUUGUUGAAAAACAUGUCGUACGACCAAUCUGUUGCCUGCAAAGUGUUCGCUAAAAGAUCCAAACCAAUCACUUUUUGAGUUUUUCUUACUUUGUAAUUGAGUAUUUAGAAAAAACAAUUGGUGCAUUUAUGUUUUUAGCAAAACAGGGAAGUAAAUCUCUACAACAACAUGUCUCAUCUCUCACUGGUAAGCUUCAGAGCUUCGCCGGGGAUCUUGCCAAGGUAUAACUUCCAACCUUCCAGUUCACCAAGAAAAUUUCGAGUACUGGCUUUAAAAAUAUUUUUACCUGUAUCCUCCUUCCCCCACUUUGAUGCUCUAUAAAAUUAUUCUUGCUAUUGGAUUUUAAUCAGUUAAUACAUGUAACCGUAUAAUUAUUAGGAGCUAUGAAUUGAUGGAAAAGACUCUCAAAGUGUAUGUAUACAGAGAGGGGUCUAAGCUGAUAAUGCAUUCGCCAUAUCUUUUGGGAAUUUAUGCUUCUGAGGGAUGGUUCAUGAGGUUGAUGGAAGCUAAUAAAGCAUUUGUUACUAAAGACGCGAAGAAGGCGCACCUGUUUUACUUACCUUUCAGUUCUCGAAUGCUCGAGUAAACAUUGUACGAUCAGAACUCACAUAGUCAUAGAAAUCUAAGGCAGUAUCUGAGUAACUAUGUAGACAUGAUUGAUGGAAAGCAUCGGUUCUGGAACAGAACGGGAGGCGCUGAUCAUUGAAUAUCCAAUGUUAUUUACAAACAUUGAGAAUGUAAUAAUCUUGGUUGGAGAUCAUUUAUACAGAAUGAAUUACAUGGAUCUCGUGCAGAUUAUGGAUGCAAUAAUCUCACAUGGCUGUUUCGUGAGAGAGUGUAGCGUGCAACACUCCAUUGUGGGUGAACGUUCCCGUUUGGAUUAUGGCGUUGAGCUCAAGGACACUAUAAUGAUGGGAGCAUACUAUUACCAAACGGAAUCCAAAAUUUCUUGGGAGUUGGCAAAGGGAAAGGUUCCAGCAGGUAUUGGAAGGAACAGCAAAAUCAGUUAAUCUUACUAUUUACAUUUGCGAUGAGAUCAUGUUCUAUUCUUCGCAAUCGAUUGGUGGCUGAUCCGGUAUUUCUUUUCAAAAUAGGAUCUGAGAUCGUAAUUGAUUCUUGCUAUGCUACCAUUGCUGAAUAUCAAAAGAGAGGCAAAGACUUUUGGAUUGAAUUCGAGUUGUAUGUUGCAGAUCUUCUUUUUGGGCUGGUUGUUAAUGUUGCUUUGGUAGGAAUGUUGACACCUUAUGCUCGAAUCGGUAAACCGUCAAUAUCUAAGGGAUUCCAUGGAAGUAUGCAGAAAGCAUAUGCAACUUUGCCUAGCAGUGUAUUUGAAGCUGAAAGGCCAGGAUGUAGAUUUUCUAUACAGUAGAGACUUGGAACAUACUUCUUCAAGGUAAUGAAUGCACGGUCAUUUCUUUGGUAAACCAAAUUGGAAUUAUGCUUACUGAUCAAUGUAUAUCAUAAAUAAUUUUGAUCAUAUGUUGCCUUUUCUUCUCAUUUUUUGAUGUUGGUGUCACGUUAUGUGUGAUGCUUCGUCGGUAUGUCCAACUUUGAUCCGUGAUAUGGUGCGAAUUAGCUGUAUUCUGUGCGAAACCUGCAAUCGAAGUUGUUUCAGGUUGGCUCUUGUGCUGGCUGUCCAGGUGUUGGUGCUUCUGGUAGUAUGGCAAAGCAGCGUGCAAGUCGAUUAUCUUAGUUACGAUUUUAGUUUUGUCGAAGUUUGUUAAAUUGGAGUAGGAAUUGAGAUGUUUUCCUCUUAUGUACAGAUUUGCUAUUCAACGUGUUCCACAGAUAAUCCUUGAAAAGGAUGG